UGCAGAGUAGAGAAUAAAGUGGUUAGUGCCCGACACACAGGGAGUUGGUGUCGAGACGAAGAGCCGAAUCGGUUCCCAGUUUUAUUUUCGCAUCCCGCUGCC
rnacentral:ncRNA from 18 species